UAAACACCGUUUUAAAAGUGAGUCCGUAAGUGACUGUGGUGCCAAUCCUUGAUCCACACAUCCUUCCACAGUGGGGACAUAGGUUUGAUCACGGUGAGAGUUUGCCAAGCGUGCCUUCCUCUUAGUGCGUUUCUCCCUUUCGUCCUGAGUUCCAGCAUUUUCAAAACCCAUGACACCUUUGGUAAAGGCUGUUCUCCAACUGGAGCGCUCGCAGGCCAGUGUUUCCCAGUUGUUGGUUUUUAUACUACAUUUAUUUCAUGCAUUGUGAUAUAUCAGUAUAUCACGAUGCCCCCCCCCCCCCCCGUGAUAUAUCACAAUGUUGAAAAGCAAAUAUUACCCAGCCCUAGUGGGUGGGUGUUUUCAUCAGAUGUCACCCCCCCACCCAGUGUCCUAGGACAUAUCAAGAACAGACAGUCCAGUCCCUGUAGCAUCUUGGGUGGUGUCUGAUUAACUAUACUCUUCCAGGAAAAGUUUUUGCCAGAUGGCUAAGUGACACCUUAAGUCAGGGGGAAUGAAGUUUUUAUAGCCUGGGGGGCUGCAUUCCCUUUUUGGGGACCAAAUGCCAGCCAUGGGUGCAGCCAGGAGCGAAAAUGAGUACAGCAACCAAUGCAGAUUUUGCCUUUGUACAUUAGGCUUGCUUGACAUCCAUGCACCUCUACUCUCCACCAAGGCAAGAAAGACACAUGGGCAGAGUUCAAGGGCACGUUCCAGCCAGCCAGAAGCAUUCCAUGAAGGUGCAAUGCAGGGCGAGUGAGGGGAGUGGUGAGAUCCAGCCACACGCCAGCAAAUUCAGGUUGCAGUGUUACAGUCACUGGAGUGCCAUUGCGCCACAGUGCUGCUUCUCCAGAAAUCGGACAUUUUUUGCAGGAAAGAAAGUGAUGAUGACAGGGAGAGUCAGAGGUUAUCCAAAACAGAAAGUACAGAAAGGAUGGGAAAUCUUUAAAGAAUAUCUGAAAAUCUAUUGUAACAAUAAACAUCUCCUGGCAGAACUAGAAUGAUUCUUGUAAAAUAAGAAAUAUAAUGUUUUUGGUAUCUGAUGAAAACAAAGAAAGUAAUACAGUAAUCUGGAACUGUGUGUGAAAAAAUAACAGAAAAAAUAAUACAAUGAGUCUAAUUGGAAGUCAAAUGUGUUUAUUUUUUCUUUCUUUCUUCUAAUUCUUUCUUUAAAUCUCCCCCCUUCUUCUUUUUCUUUCUACCUUCUUUUUUUGUUCCUUUUUCUUUUUGAUCUGCUAAGAAAAAGAUAAAGAGAUAAAAGUUAAAUAUGAAAAACUGAGCAAGUUAAAGUGAUGUUCUGUAAUUUUUCAACUACUAUUAAAGAUGGUCAAUUGUAAUGCACUGAUGUAGUAGUUAUUGUGGAUUUUUUUGUUAUUGUUGAAUCUUAAAUAAAGUAUUAAAAGAAAAGGAAAAAAGUGUGGAGUAGCAAUGGCUCGAUGCAAUGUUGUGUAACCUCCUAACAAACAAUGAAUAGAAUGAAUGCUGGAUAAGCAGCCAAUGUUGUCUGAAAUCACUGAAAACUUUGUGCUCAAUAAAACGGGUUGUCUGGAAGCAGCCAUUUCCUCCUGUGGAAAUAUCAGGAAAGGAUGUUUAAGUGUGCAUGCAAGUGUGUAAUGUACAUGCUGGCGGGCACUUCAUUUUGCUGCUUGAAAUGCCAAGCUGGAGCAUCUCCCUGUCAUCAGAGUUCCUAUGUUUUGAAAUGGCACCUGGGGUGCUUUGUCCUCUUUGUAAAUAUUUAGUCUACAAAUCUGCAAAGAGAAGCACACACUCCCCAGAAAGCCACGGGUGGCACUAACACCUUGUUGCUGGCAUCCGUCUGAACUGGGAGACACAUGGCAACCAUUGUUUUUGUUCCUUUACCAUCUGAAAUUUUAUUUUUUAAUUUUUUCCAAAGGUUUUUUUGGGGGGUGGGGGUGGGGAAUGGGAGAAAGAACAACAUGUUUCACACAUUAUAAAGAGAACAGCCAUGGGGUGUGGUGAGAGACGGAACCGCGUCAUAAAUUUAAAGCACAUCCAGCACACAUUUAAAACAAAGUAUCCUGGGAAGUGUAGAGUCUUAAGGGUGCUGGGAAUUGUAGUUGUGAGGGGGGCAGCUACAGUUCCCAGGAUUCUUUGGGGGAGUCACAUGCUCUAAAUGUGUGUUGGAUGUGCUUUAAAAGUACA
rnacentral:lncRNA from 1 species